UACGUAGGGACCAAGCGUUGUUCGGAUUUACUGGGCGUAAAGGGCGCGUAGGCGGCAAUUCAAGUCAGUUGUGAAAUCUCCGAGCUUAACUCGGAACGGUCAACUGAUACUGUUUUGCUAGAGUGCAGAAAGGGCAACCGGAAUUCUUGGUGUAGCGGUGAAAUGCGUAGAUAUCAAGAGGAACACCUGAGGCGAAGGCGGGUUGCUAGGCUGACACUGACGCUGAGGAGCGAAAGCGUGGGGAGCGAACAGG
rnacentral:rRNA from 1 species